rnacentral:rRNA from 1 species
GAUGAACGCUGGCGGCGUGCCUAAUACAUACAAGUCGAGCGAACGGACGAGAAGCUUGCUUCUCUGAUGUUAGCGGCGGACGGGUGAGUAACACGUGGAUAACCUACCUAUAAGACUGGGAUAACUUCGGGAAACCGGAGCUAAUACCGGAUAAUAUUUUGAACCGCAUGGUUCAAAAGUGAAAGACGGUCUUGCUGUCACUUAUAGAUGGAUCCGCGCUGCAUUAGCUAGUUGGCAAGGUAACGGCUUACCAAGGCAACGAUGCAUAGCCGACCUGAGAGGGUGAUCGGCCACACUGGAACUGAGACACGGUCCAGACUCCUACGGGAGGCAGCAGUAGGGAAUCUUCCGCAAUGGGCGAAAGCCUGACGGAGCAACGCCGCGUGAGUGAUGAAGGUCUUCGGAUCGUAAAACUCUGUUAUUAGGGAAGAACAUAUGUGUAAGUAACUGUGCACAUCUUGACGGUACCUAAUCAGAAAGCCACGGCUAACUACGUG